GCCGGGCGCGGUGGUGUGCGCCUGUAGUCCCAGCUACUCAGGAGGCUGAGGCAGGAGAAUCGCUUGAACCCAGGAGGCUGAGCUUGUAGUGAGCUGAGAUCGCGCCACUGCACUUCCAGCCUGGGUGACAGAGCAAGACUCCGUCUCAA
rnacentral:sRNA from 1 species